GACGAACGCUGGCGGCGUGCUUAACACAUGCAAGUCGAACGGAAAGGCCCUGCUUGCAGGGUACUCGAGUGGCGAACGGGUGAUUAACACGUGGGUGAUCUGCCCUGCACUUCGGGAUACGCCUGGGAAACUGGGUCUAAUACCGGAUAGGAGCCAUUUUUAGUGUGAUGGUUGGAAAGUUUUUUCGGUGUAGGAUGAGCUCGCGGCCUAUCAGCUUGUUGGUGGGGUAAUGGCCUACCAAGGCGGCGACGGGUAGCCGGCCUGAGAGGGUGGACGGCCAAAAUGAGAAUGAGAGACGGCCCAGACUCCGACGGGAGGAAGCAGUGGGGAAUAUUGCACAAGGGGCGCAAGCCCGAUGCAGUGAAGCCGCGAGGGGGAGGAAGGCCUUAGGGUUGGAAACUCAUUUCGCUAGGGACGAAGCUUUUUGUGACGGUACCUAGAGAAGAAGCACAGGCUAACUACGUG
rnacentral:rRNA from 1 species